ensembl:snRNA U6 U6 spliceosomal RNA
GUGCUCGCUUCAGCAGCACAUAUAAAAAUUGGAACAAUACAGAGAUUAGCAUGGCCCCUGCACAAGGAUGACCCACAAAUUCAUGAAGGGUUCCAUUUAAAA